AAAAAACAAAAAACUAAAAAAAUGACCAUCAAAUUAUUUUCUGUUUUCUCCUUGACUCUUUCAAUUAUCUUAAUUUCUUCAUUUUUCUUCUAUUUCUCCGCCGCGUUGGGUGGCGUACCUGGUGGUUGGACCCCCUUAAAUGACGUAAAUACCCCUGAUGUGGUUGCGAUAGGACAAUUUGCAAUAAAUGAACACAACAAAGAGGCAGGGACAAAAUUGGAAUUUCAAAGUAUUACUAAAGGAGAAAGUCAAGUUGUUGCCGGAACAAAUUAUCGACUUGUAAUUAAUGCUAAAGAUGGAGGCUAUAUUCGUAAAUAUUUGGUGGUUGUAUGGGAUACACCAUGGGAGAAAAUUAAGAAACUUACUUCCUUCAAAAAAAUGUAAGUGUUAAAAAGCUUAUGGUUUAUGAUCUCGAGUUAGUGAAUUUAGAAUAAACGCGAUGUUAUAAUAUAUAUUUAUGAUAUGUUUUAAUGUUUUUGUAUGUGUAUGUAUCGUUUGAGAUAUGAAUUUGAUUGUAAAUUGAGAAA
rnacentral:misc_RNA from 1 species